rnacentral:rRNA from 1 species
UACGUAGGUGGCAAGCGUUGUCCGGAUUUAUUGGGUUUAAAGGGUGCGUAGGCGGCUUUGUAAGUCAGUGGUGAAAUAUGGCAGCUUAACUGUCAAGGUGCCAUUGAUACUGCGGAGCUUGAGUACAGAUGAGGUAGGCGGAAUUGACGGUGUAGCGGUGAAAUGCUUAGAGAUCGGGAGGAACACCGGUGGCGAAGGCGGUCUUCUGGACGGUGACUGACGCUGAGGCGCGAAAGCGUGGGGAGCAAACGGG